UGGGGAAUUUUGGACAAUGGGGGCAACCCUGAUCCAGCAAUGCCGCGUGAGUGAAGAAGGCCUUCGGGUUGUAAAGCUCUUUUGUCCGGGAAGAGAUCCCAUCUGUUAAUACCGGGUGGGGAUGACGGUACUGGAAGAAUAAGCACCGGCUAACUACGUGCCAGCAGCCGCGGUAAUACGUAGGGUGCAAGCGUUAAUCGGAAUUACUGGGCGUAAAGCGUGCGCAGGCGGUUGUGCAAGACCGAUGUGAAAUCCCCGGGCUUAACCUGGGAACUGCAUUGGUGACUGCACGGCUAGAGUGUGUCAGAGGGGGGUAGAAUUCCACGUGUAGCAGUGAAAUGCGUAGAGAUGUGGAGGAAUACCGAUGGCGAAGGCAGCCCCCUGGGAUAACACUGACGCUCAUGCACGAAAGCGUGGGGAGCAAAACAGGAUUAGAUACCCUGGUAGUCCACGCCCUAAAACGAUGUCAACUAGUUGUCGGGUCUUCAUUGACUUGGUAACGCAGCUAACGCGUGAAGUUGACCGCCUGGGGGAGUACGGUCGCAAGAUU
rnacentral:rRNA from 1 species